GUGGUCCCUUCGGCAGCAUAUAGACUAAAAUUGGAACAAUGGAAGAUUAGCAUGGGCCUUGUGCAAGGACGACAUGUAAAUUCGUGAAGCGUUCCAUAUUUUU